rnacentral:rRNA from 1 species
AUUGAACGCUGGCGGCGUGCUUAACACAUGCAAGUCGAACGGUGAAAGCGGAGCUUGCUCCGCUGGAUCAGUGGCGAACGGGUGAGUAACACGUGGGCAACCUGCCCCUCACUUCGGGAUAACUCCGGGAAACCGGGGCUAAUACCGGAUAUGACCUCCUUGGGCAUCCUUGGAGGUGGAAAGUUUUUCGGUGAGGGAUGGGCCCGCGGCCUAUCAGCUUGUUGGUGAGGUAGUGGCUCACCAAGGCGACGACGGGUAGCCGGCCUGAGAGGGUGGCCGGCCACACUGGGAAUGAGGCACGGCCCAGACUCCUACGGGAGGCAGCAGUGGGGAAUAUUGCACAAUGGGCGCAAGCCUGAUGCAGCGACGCCGCGUGAGGGAUGAAGGUCUUCGGAUUGUAAACCUCUUUCAGUAGGGACGAAGCGAAAGUGACGGUACCUAAAGAAGAAGCACCGGCUAACUACGUGCCAGCAGCCGCCGUAA